GAAUAUUGGACAAUGGGGGCAACCCUGAUCCAGCCAUGCCGCGUGUGUGAAGAAGGCCUUCGGGUUGUAAAGCACUUUCAGUGGUGAGGAAAGGGUGACCGCUAAUAUCGGUUACCUGUGACGUUAGCCACAGAAGAAGCACCGGCUAAUUCCGUGCCAGCAGCCGCGGUAAUACGGAAGGUGCGAGCGUUAAUCGGAAUAACUGGGCGUAAAGCGCGCGUAGGUGGUUGAGUCAGUCAGAUGUGAAAGCCCCGGGCUUAACCUGGGAACUGCACCUGAUACUGCUUGACUAGAGUACGGUAGAGGGCAGUGGAAUUUCCUGUGUAGCGGUGAAAUGCGUAGAUAUAGGAAGGAACACCAGUGGCGAAGGCGACUGCCUGGACUGAUACUGACACUGAGGUGCGAAAGCGUGGGUAGCAAACAGG
rnacentral:rRNA from 1 species